CGGACGGGUGAGUAACGCGUGGGAACCUGCCCAGUGGUGGGGGAUAACUGCGGGAAACUGCAGCUAAUACCGCAUGAGCCCGAGAGGGGAAAGAUUUAUCGCCAUUGGAGGGGCCCGCGUUCGAUUAGGUAGUUGGUGAGGUAAUGGCUCACCAAGCCGACGAUCGAUAGCUGGUCUGAGAGGAUGAUCAGCCACACUGGGACUGAGAUACGGCCCAGACUCCUACGGGAGGCAGCAGUGGGGAAUAUUGGACAAUGGGGGCAACCCUGAUCCAGCAAUGCCGCGUGAGUGAUGAAGGCCUUCGGGUUGUAAAGCUCUUUUGCCAGGGACGAUGAUGACGGUACCUGGAGAAUAAGCCCCGGCUAACUUCGGUGCCAGCCGCCGCGG
rnacentral:rRNA from 1 species